GACGAACGCUGGCGGCGUGCUUAACACAUGCAAGUCGAACGGAAAGGCCCUGCUUUUGUGGGGUGCUCGAGUGGCGAACGGGUGAGUAACACGUGAGUAACCUGCCCUUGACUUUGGGAUAACUUCAGGAAACUGGGGCUACUACCGGAUAGGAGCUCCUGCUGCAUGGUGGGGGUUGGAUAGUUUCGGCGGUUGGGGAUGGACUCGCGGCUUAGCAGCUUGCUGGUGGGGUAGUGGCUUACCAAGGCUUUGACGGGUAGCAGGCCGGAGAGGGUGACCGGCCACAUUGGGACUGAGAUACGGCCGAGACGAAUACGGGAGGCAGCAGGGGAGAAUAUUGCACAAUGGGCGGAAGCCUGAUGCAGCAACGCCGCGUGCGGGAUGACGGCCUUCGGGUUGUAAACCGCUUGCGCCUGAGACGAAGCGUGAGUGACGAUAAUGAGUAAAGAAGCACCGGCUAACUACG
rnacentral:rRNA from 1 species